rnacentral:tRNA from 1 species
GCCUGCGUGGUGUAAUGGUCAGCACGCUGGGCUCGUAUACAAGAGGUCUGUGGUUCGAGUCCCGGCGAGGGCA